GACGAACGCUGGCGGCGUGCUUAACACAUGCAAGUCGAACGGAAAGGCCCUGCUUUUGUGGGGUGCUCGAGUUGCGAACGGGUGAGUAACACGUGAGUAACCUGCCCUUGACUUUGGGAUAACUUCAUGAAACUUGGUCUAAUACCGGAUAGGAUCUCCUGCUUCUUGGUGGGGGUUGGAUAGUUUCGGCGGUUGGGGAUGGACUCGCGGCUUAUCAGCUUGUUGGUGGGGUAGUGGCUUACCAAGGCUUUGACGGGUAGCCGGCCUGAGAGGGUGACCGGCCACAUUGGGACUGAGAUACGGACCAGACUCAUACGGGAGGCAGAAGUGGGGAAUAUUGAAAAAGGGGCGGAAGCCUGAUGCAGAAACGCCGAGUGCGGGAUGACGGCCUUCGGGUUGUAAACCGCUUUCGCCUGUGACGAAGAGUGAGUGAAGGUAAUGGGUAAAGAAGCACCGGCUAAAUACGUG
rnacentral:rRNA from 1 species